GGGGUAGAGCAGCCCGGUAGCUCGUCAGGCUCAUAACCUGAAGGUCGUAGGUUCAAAUCCUACCCCCGCAA
rnacentral:tRNA from 1 species